UACAGAGGUGCCAAGCGUUAGGCGGAAUCACUGGGCUUAAAGCGCGUGUAGGUGGAUGGGUAAGUACCUUGUGAAAUCCCAUGGCUCAACCAUGGAAGUGCACUCGAAACUGCAGGGCUAGAGUCCUGGAGAGGAAGGUGGAAUGCUUGGUGUAGAGGUGAAAUUCGUAGAUAUCAAGCGGAACACCGGUGGCGAAGGCGGCCUUCUGGACAGUGACUGACGCUGAGACGCGAAAGCGUGGGGAGCAAACAGG
rnacentral:rRNA from 1 species